AGAGUUAAACAGUGCGUGAAAUUGUUGAAAGGGAAACGUUUGACACCAGUCAUGUGGGUGGAAAAUCAGUCUUUUGCAUUGGGGAGUUGUAAGGGUUCGGACCGCAAGGCCGGCUUUUGCUUCAUCUUUGGUGUAAGUGAUGCACUUUUUCAUCUACAGGUCAACAUCAGUUUUUUUUGCCGGAUAAAGGUCUUGAGGAAGGUAGAUCAUUUUUCUCACGAAAAAGAUUGUUAUAGCCUCUGAGAAUCAUAUACGGUGAAAAAGACUGAGGAAAUUUUAAACUAUGUGCCUUAGGCGAUAGUUAUGUGGCCUUAGGAGGGUGGAAAUAUUAAGCUAUCUAAUAGAUUGAUGUUUCUUGCCUUUUUAUGAGUUAUAUAAUUAUUAACAUAGUUCAAGAUGUUGACAAAAUGGUUUUAAAUGACC
rnacentral:rRNA from 1 species